UACGUAGGAUGCAAGCGUUGUCCGGAUUUACUGGGCGUAAAGCGCGCGCAGGCGGCAGUGUAAGUAAGGUGUGAAAUCUCCCUGCUCAACGGGGAGGGUGCACUUUAGACUACACAGCUAGAGGUCGGUAGAGGGGGGUGGAAUUGCUGGUGUAGCGGUGAAAUGCGUAGAGAUCAGCAGGAACACCCGUGGCGAAGGCGGCCCCCUGGGCCGUACCUGACGCUGAGGCGCGAAGGCUAGGGGAGCGAACGGGAUUAGAUACCCCGGUAGUCCUAGCAGUAAACGAUGGCCACUAGGUGUGGGGGGUGUUGACCCCUUCCGUGCCGUAGCUAACGCAUUAAGUGGCCCGCCUGGGGAGUACGGUCGCAAGACUAAA
rnacentral:rRNA from 1 species